rnacentral:misc_RNA from 1 species
AAUAUUUAUUUAUUGUACAUCGCUGUAUAAUAUAUCUACAUUUGCAUCCGACGAUACUUAUUGCUGAUAUUGUAAUACCUUCAAUCAACUAACAAUGAAUAAAUUAAAAUAUAGUUAAACCAACAAAACUCUGUCAGACGAAAUAAAUACGUUGCCAAUUGUCUAUCCCUAAUAACUUUAAUCCUCUCCCGUGCCAGUAUUCCUGCGCAUAGCAGGUUAGCCGAAAGGUGGAAUUCGUUUGCCAGUUGCAUCAAACGUAAGUCAACGCUACCCAUUAAACACGAGUUAGUAGAUAAUAGACUCUCACCUACUUCAAAAGACACGACAGACGAAGGUACAUAGAUUUGUUUUCCUACAGGCAAGAAAGUGCUUACAGAGGCACUUCCAGUCUGGGAAUUCAACAGACACAACAGACAAGGGUACAAGGUUUGUUUUCCUACAGGCAAGAAAGUGCUUACAGAGGCACUUCCAGUCUGGGAAUUCAACAGACACAACAGACAAGGGUACAAGGUUUGUUUUCCUACAGGCAAGAAAGUGCUUAUAGAGGCACUUCCAGACUGGGAAUCCAAAAGGCACGAUAGACAAACAAUACCCAUCAUACACUAACACUCCCAACUUUAAGAAAUAAUAAUAAUAAAAGGAAAUUCUUUGAAAUACUUCUUAGACUAUUUCUGGUGGCAGCAACUACCAUAUUAAUCGGACAUCUCGAUUAAUAUUUCAUAAACAAUCAUACCAUUUCAAUUUCCCCCUUCCGAUUAAACUUAAGAUAACACAACAACAACAACAACAAAAAAAAAAAAAAAAAAAAAAAAAAAAAAAAAUUUUAUCUGGAUUUAGUCUAGACUAACACGGAAGGCAUGGCACAAUCAAAUCGAACAUAACAUAACGUAACAAUAUCUCAAUCAGGAGAGAAAUAUCGCUUAGUUUUCGAUCAAAUCGAAGAAUGAUUGAAUUUUAAGAGCUGAAUGCGAUUGCAUCGACACUGGCUAUAGCGCGCACUACGUUCUGCGUGCAGAAUGGAAUAAAAUGGGCGUUUAAACGUCGACAUAUCUCACACGCCGAAAGAAAUAACGCUUAGUUUUCGAUCAAAUCGAAGAAUGAUUGAAUUUUAAGAGCUGAAUGCGACUACAUCGACAAAGGCUAUCGCGUGCACUACGUUCUGCAUGUACAAUGGAGUAAAAUGGGCGUUUAAACGUCGAAAUUUCUCUAACUUGAGAGAAAUAUCGCAUAGUUUUCGAUCAAAUCGAAGGAUGAUUGAAUUUUAAGAGCUGAAUGCGAUUGCAUCGACACUGGCUAUAGCGCGCACUACGUUCUGCGUGCAGAAUGGAAUAAAAUGGGCGUUUAAACGUCGACAUAUCUCACACGCCGAAAGAAAUAACGCUUAGUUUUCGAUCAAAUCGAAGAAUGAUUGAAUUUUAAGAGCUGAAUGCGACUACAUCGACAAAGGCUAUCGCGUGCACUACGUUCUGCAUGUACAAUGGAGUAAAAUGGGCGUUUAAACGUCGAAAUUUCUCUAACUUGAGAGAAAUAUCGCAUAGUUUUCGAUCAAAUCGAAGGAUGAUUGAAUUUUAAGAGCUGAA